AAAGUUAAGGGAGGCUCGGGGGCUACGACCCUUCGACAUAUCUGUGAGUGGCCAGUAUUUUUCUGUAUUUACCUAUAUGCUAUCUAUUUUUCCUAGAAAUCGAAAUUAAAUGAAAUUAUAUUUCUAAAAUGCCAUGCAUGCAUAUUAUGAGUUACGAAUUGAUAAUUGAUACAUAUAUAUAUGUGUGAAUUGGUGUCGUGGACGCACAGGUGAGUAUCAGGUGAGUUUAUAUGGUUUAUAUGAAUGAAUGAUGAUGUGAUUGCGUUGUGAGCUCAUAAACUGCACCUUUGGUAUUAGUGCUUAUAGUAUUCACCACACCGCACGCUCGCCUUGGAUCCAAGUAGGUGGAUGUCGUACAGACCACUAAAGGUGGUUCCGACAUGCCAGUCGUACAGACCAUUAGAGGGGUUCCGACUGGUGGGUGACUUUAGAUUAUGUGCACAAAUGAUUGAUGAGAGAAGCACUAGAGCGUAUUAUUUCACCAUCUUAGUCGUACAGACUACUUUAGGUAGUUCCGACUUAUGUGCAGUGUAGCGCCGUACAGGUCACAGUUGGUGACUCCGGCAGGGCCGUACAGGUCACAGUUGGUGACUCCGGCUAGAUGAGAUUUUGAGCUAUAGUUUCAGCCGUACAGGACCAUUGUAGGGUCUCCAGUUGAUUUAUUUUUCACCUGAUUUAUAUUGAUGCAUUCAUAUUAUAGUUUGGCAUGGCAUGGCAUAUUUUUCCGAAAAGUGUUAAAGAAAUGAGUUUUGAGAUUUAUGAAAGUAUAUUUGUACAUAUGCUAUUUUUCUGGGAAAGUACAGGUUUUACGGAGAGGGGUUACAACGUUUUGAGAAAUGUUUUGUCUUAAAAAGAUUGGUUUUACUGACCCACUCAACUUUGUUUUUCGCCCCUCCAGGUUCGACAUAGAGCAGAGCUUUGGUGGCCACGAGGAAUUCAACGGUGUUCUGACAGAAUUUCACAAACGUAGGUUUCACUUUCGGGUAUUAUACCUUAGUAUUUAUGUCUUUAAAGCUUCCGAACCGUGUAAAUGGUUACGUCACUCUCACGUGACGGCCAUCAUACCCUCAUUCGGGACGGGAUGUGACAUUUAAUGUAUUAAUUUUAUUCAUUAUAAUUAUAAUUUUCAUUUCAUUCAUCAUAAUAUAUUUUGUUGUAAACAUUUAGAUAAAUUAAUUUUUAUUUUACAAUAUAUUUCGAUAUAUUUUGUCUUCUUCAUUUAAGUACAUUAAAUUCAUUAUAAUACAUUUUGGUGCAUACAUUUAGGUACACACAUUUUAGUACAUACAUUUCGAUACAAACAUUUAGGUACAUUAAUUCAAUAUAAUACAUUUUGGUAUACACAUUCAGGUACAGUAGUUUAAUAUAAUACAUUUCGGUGCAUACAUUUGGGUACAUACAUUUAUGUACUAACAUUUAAAUUCAUUAAUUCAAUAUAAUACAUUUCGGUACUAAUAUUUUGGUACAUACAUUUCGGUACUAACAUUUAAGUACAUUAAUUGAGUUUUCAAGAUUGAAGAAUGUUAAAUAAAAUUAAUAAAUUAAAAAAACUUUUGUUUGGUCAAAAAAUAUAUUAAAAUGUGUAUAUUAAUAAUUUAAAUAUUUAAUGGGAGACUUUGAAUAAAAUACACAUUAAUUAUUUUGAAUUAAGGACAUAUCAAGAUAUUAUAAUCAAUAUGUAAUCUAAAAUCAGGUUUAUUUUAAAUUUCAAUCUUCUUCAAAGAUUAAGGGUAGAAAACCCAAAAGUUAUCUAGUAUCUAAAUCCGCCGUUGUCUAAGCCCGGAUUCUUCUUAAAUUUAGGUAUAUCCGCGGGUGUCUGAAACCUAAUUUUUCUUGAAUUUUCAUGGGCGAAUAUAUAGCAAGACGGAGAUGAGGAAAGGGCGAGAGAGGUGAUGACCUCGUGACAAACCGACCAAUUUCAGCUAAGUUGUCGGGUACGUAAAGAGCUGCAUGCAACCGACACCAAUCUUUCUCGGUCACCAUCCGAUCGUAACUGAACUACUCUCUCUCUCUCUCUCUCU
rnacentral:lncRNA from 1 species